rnacentral:lncRNA from 1 species
ACAAGUUCACUUUCCUUUACAAAAGGCCUGUCUACCCCCACUAUUUUCUCCUGGCCUUUCCCGGUCCUAGCUGUGCUAGCCACUUUGCGUACCUUGCUUCACUGGCAGCAUGGAUUCGUACUGGGACACUGGUAAUUCUGACAAGAUAAUCCAAUGGCACUAUGACUUCAUCUCAAAAAUUCCAGCCAGGUCAGCCGCAGCUGGAGUCCUCACAGGCUAGCAGGUGAUUUUCCUGUAAGGGGAGGCAGCGCUGACUGCCUUGUGAAGCCUUCAUGCAGCCUGCUCUUCAAGCUCACUGAAAUCUGGGGUAAAGUGCUCUGUGGCAACCCUAAUAAAUGAGAAAUGGACACCUAUGCUACAAAAGAUCUCAAAAAUUGCAUUGAGAAGUUGCCAAAUACUUUCAGAGAGUUGAAAAGAGUUGUGCAUUCGGCGAUCAGUAACGAGCCCAAGAGGAGCUUUAUUCGGUGCAGUUUCACAUCUAUUAGACUAUUCUGCCCUUACAGCAGUCUCCAGAGAGAGCCUCUGGCUGCUUCUUAAGGUCAGUGAGUCAUUUUUAUACAAUAAAUGAUCUCGCUAGCUGGAAAUGUUGGAAAGG